CCAUUAAAUCAGAUAUGGUUUCUUGGAUCAUACAUACUACACGGAUACUGUAGUAAUUCUAGAGCUAAUACGUGCCUCGAGUCCCAGAUUCAUUAGAUGACGGGCGCACUUAUAGAUCAUAAACCAACCGGGUUAACUCGGCGUUUGUGGUGACUCUGGAUAACUUAGUAUGAUCGCGUCGGCCUUGUUGCCGGCGACAGAUCCAUAAAAUGUCUGCCCUAUCAACUUACGAUGGUAGGUAAUAUGCCUACCAUGGUUAUGACGGGUAACGGGGAAUCAGGGUUCGAUUCCGGAGAGGGAGCCUGAGAAACGGCUACCACAUCCAAGGAAGGCAGCAGGCGCGCAAAUUACCCACUCUCAGAGAGAGGAGGUAGUAAAGACAAAUAUCGAUGCAGGACCUAUAUGAGGCUCUGUAAUCGAAAUGAGUGCAUAAUAAAUCCUACAACAAGGAUCCAUUGGAGGGCAAGUCUGGUGCCAGCAGCCGCGGUAACUCCAGCUCCAAUAGCAUAUAUUAAAAUUGUUGCAGUUAAAAAGCUCGUAGUUGGAUCUGGACUUUGGUGUGGAGGCUAGAGGUGUUCGUUUGGGUGGGGUAACCCUCGCUUAAGCGGGCCUUUUGGUGAUUCUGCGCCUUGUCUAAUAGCUGUAUCUGUGUAAAGGUUUACUUUUGCAUGGAUGUUAGCGAAUGUGGGGUGGGUUUGCAGUAAUGUGGCCUACUUCCUUCGUUAAUAUGUGCCAUCAUGCCUUUAACCGGGUGUGAGGUACGGACAGCACGUUUACUUUGAACAAAUUUGAGUGCUCAAAGCAGGCCUUGUUGCCUGAAAAGUCUUGCAUGGAAUAAUAGAAUAGGACUUUGGUCCUAUUUUGUUGGUUUAACAGAACUAAAGUAAUGAUAAAGAGAGACAGACGGGGGCAUUUGUAUGGCAGCGCGAGAGGUGAAAUUCGUAGACCGUUGCCAGACAAUCUAAAGCGAAAGCAUCUGCCAAGUAUGUUUUCAUUUACCAGGA
rnacentral:rRNA from 1 species